GACGAACGCUGGCGGCGUGCUUAACACAUGCAAGUCGAACGAAGAGGCGAACGGGUGAGUAACGCGUAUUCAACCUGCCCUUCAGAGGGGGACAACAGUUGGAAACGAAUUCUAAUACCUCAUACUGAAGGUAGGGAUUGCGUGUGGUUAGGUAGUUGGAGGGGUAACGGCCCACCAAGGCGAUGAUCAGUAGCCGGUCUGAGAGGAUGAACGGCCAAAUUGGGACUGAGUCCAGGCCCAGACUCUGACGGGAGGCAGGAGUGGGGAAUCUGCCGAAAUGGACGAAAGUCUGACGGAGCAAAGCCGGGUGAGUGAUGACGGCCUUCGGGUUGGAAAGCUCUGUUAAUCGGGAAGCGGUACCGGAAUAGAAAGCCACGGCUAACUACGUGCCAGCAGCCGCGGUAAUUC
rnacentral:rRNA from 1 species